rnacentral:lncRNA from 1 species
CUUUGGCCGAAGGAGCUGCGAACUCGGGCUCCACUCCUCGGUGCGCCCUCGGAUAAAAGCCGUCAGUCCCUCCUUUCUCCGUGGUCUCCGGGCACACUUCGAGCUCCCCCCAGCAUUUUUGUCUCUGGUACAUGGUUCCAUAUGGAGUCUCCAAACCCAGCUAAUUCCUGCCGCAGGCUCGUGCUGUCCUCCUGGAAGAGGAAGGAAGACGAGUCUCCCCGGAUCUACCGCUUGUGGGGUCCCUGCUUGAAGAGCCGACUGGACAGCAUCUCGGGUCACCGUUUAAGGGGUUCCUGUUGCGGGACAGGGGAUCAGAUGUUAAGAGUUUGGACAAACUCAUGAAAACCAAAAAUAUACCUGAAGCUCACCAAGAUGCAUUUAAACUGGUUUUGCCAAGGGAUUUCUGAAAUCUCAAGCCCUAACGCAAAAAACCAACGGUAAGUUGAUUAGACACCAUCCAUAUUUGGAAAGAAUAUCUAAAAGGAAGUCAUAGUUCUACCUUUAAGUGGUUACACAUACUUUUUCU